AGUUUGCUUGAAAUACAUACCUAAAACUUUGCUGAAAACUGAAGUCCACCAUGAAGGUUGUGCCACUUGCUCUCCUUCUCCUUGUAGUAAUUGCAGGAGUAAUCUGUGAAAAAGUUGAAAUUGAAGGCCAAGGGUCACCAUGCAGAGUAACUGGUAUUCCAAGAAGAGGUACUUGUCGAAAAGCCUGCCUUUCAAAUGAGUUCCUCAAGGGUCGAUGUAUUCUUUUUAAUUUGAGGUGCUGCAUUCCAAGACGUGCUUGGUUCAUGGAGUGAAAAUACAAGUGAAAAAAGAAAUGGCUGAACUUUUUUGUCUACAGAGUAUACACUCUAUAUCCUAUCAACAUUUAUUGUAUUUUCUUUAGCAAUUCAUAUUUACUUUUUCUCUUUUAUAAAUCAUUUCUCACUAAAGCAAAGACUCAGUGUGUGUAAUUAAGUCACUUUGCAUUAUUAUGUAUUUAUAACAUAGAAUAUAUAUCUAAUAUCCAUAUGUUGAUUAGUUUAAACCUAGUCCAUUCCAUGUUAGUAAGACAAAUGACAACUUCUAAGUGAAAUCAGUUUUACUUUCUAUUCAUAGAAUAUUAUGCCAAUAAAAAGCACAAUCAGCAUUUCA